CGGCCGCCGGCGCUUUGUCUGCCCGCCCGCCCCCGCCCCCCGCCCGGCGGCCCGCAGCCCCGCAGCCCCGCAGCCCCGCAGCGCCGCAGCCCUGCGCCUCGCGCGCCCCCCGCCCCCGGCCCGGCCCGCGGCCCCCGCCUUCGCCCUCUUCCCUUUCUUUCCCCGCGCCUUUGUCUCCGCCUCGCUCCCCUUUGUGUCCCUGGGAAGACUCGGCCUCGGAUACCAGCGACCCCGCCCGGCCGGCUGUCGGUGACCCCACAGGCCCCCGGGACGCACGGCCCGCUGCCCUGCGGACAGCACGUUUGGGGAAGAAGUUAGUGGCAGUGAGGCCGCCACCCUCACACUUGGCACCUUGCCCGCUCCCUUUUCCUUCCCCCCGCAGCUCCCCCUGUCCCCUUCACCUCCAAGAAGGAGGCCCUACUGCUGGCACUAUCACUUUGGCCUAAAGUAGUUUUUCUCCCCUUUCCGAAAAUGCAUAUUUGCGGAGCAUAGCCGCCCGCUCUGGCUGCUAAGAAGAGGCUGAUCAGCGGGUGCAGCGGCGCUGUAGGCGCCCUGCCUGGAGCCCAACACAGAGCUUGAACUCAUGACCCCGAGAUCAAGACCUGAGCUGAGAUCAAGAGUUGGAUGCCUAACCGGCAGAGCCACCCAGAUAUCAAACAGAAGCACAAGGUUGUUGAGAGUAUGAAGAAAGAGAAUUCUUACUGUGUAGUCCUUCUUCUCUCCGGGAAAAGAGUCUGUCUGCCUCCUGCACACAGAGCCACCCAAACCAAUGAUGACACAGAAUCCAAUCAGAAAAGCAGCAUAAAGAUGAAAGGUCUUACCAAUGAGAAGUGAACUUGCUAAAGUACACCUUUCAAUGAAUUUGGACAAAACUGAAAAAUGUUGUUGAUACCAGAUCCUUAGGCUGAUUACUGAAGUGUUCGAUUUUUCAGUAUGUCAAUUCAUCACUGUCUACCUGGUUAUAUUUAACACUUUCUCCUGUUUCCAGCGUGUCUGCUGAGAUAGGCAAUCGCUGUCGCAUGAUAUCUACCUCUCAGGAAGGUCUUAGAAAUAAAUAAAUAAUGCAAAGAGAAGCCCUGGUGGCUGUAGGGAGGAGCCGGCGGCUGGGGACCGGUCCCCAUUACUGCAGGUACAUAUCGAGCAUGUGUAAGCCCUGUGUGCCUAGGGUGAUGCCAAAGAGCUAGAAGUUGUGACCUAGUUGAGUAACUGUCUGCUUGGAUCCUAUGGAUGAAUCCCUCAGCGUUGUUCAAGCAAGGAAGAAUCCAAUGGCAAAGAUUCACCUGGGGAGACAAUGGAAAAAGGGAUCUCAGGGCUAACUUGGGCCAGAAUGAGGCAGAGCUACCACCUGGAGCAGGGGACAGGAACCGUCAGGACACAAGGCGCCCCAGUUUUAUAACUGCAUUUUUAUGGAUGUGCAAACCAAAGCUUAGCGAAUACAAGGCAAGAAAGUGGCAGAACCAGGAUUUGAAGCUAAGAGUGUUUAACACCAAAGUCUUCACUCUUCAUAUCACAGCAGGAAUAAGGGCAACCCAGAGACAAGCUGUCCUCACCGGCAGUCCCUUGUCCCACAGCAUCCAUGAGCACAGGAAGUUGCUGUGUCCCAGGAUGAAGUCACUGAUCUAGAACACAGGGCGCUCUCUUAUUGGCGAGAGCCGCCUUGGAGAAGUCUUCUGCUCAGGGCGAUUACCAGCAGUGCCUCUGUCCCUGGCACCUCUUCAACAUGGAGCAAUUAUGCUUAUUUGGUGAAGGAUGAUGAAACGCAGAGGAGGCAAAUGCACUGGUGUAGAACUUUCCUCCCAACUUCAUCAGGUGUGCGCUGAGGACAUCCCUUGAGUGAAAAACGGGGCCGUGGUUACAACCUUCACCAGAGCGGGAAUGCAGGGACCUGCCCCUCCCGGGUCCCUGACGUCGACCCGCUGGCUUGCCACCCGAGCCAGUCCUGGGCUGACCCAGGCCUCCGACCUCCAGUGCCAGGCUGUGGAAACAGCCCAUCUGGCUUGGCAAAUGAACAGCUAAUGCUCUUCAUUUAUCUUGAAAUGGGAAGUUUUCAAUAGGCCUUAAGUGUGUAUUAAUGCAUCGAGAGUAAUGAUCCCUUUAUUUACAAAGUUGUUUAAUUCCUCACUUUUGUGCUGCUGGUGGGUCUGAGUGGAUUUUUCAUUUGCCAAGUUGCUCCAUGAUUUUCACAGCUGCUUAAGUAACCCUUGUUUCCCCCCUCUUCCCGAUCCUCCGACAAGAUAUCGAAGCAAAGUGAUUGCCAGCCUGACUUCUGACUUCUGACUCUGUUUCUGGGUUUGAUGAAUGGUUUCGUGUGAGGGGACAGUGGGACAGUGUGUGGACUAGAACGGAGACAUAGAACAUAGGUCUCCCCUGCUGCUCUGCGGUGGCCUCACUCCACCUGACGGUACUCUGCCUGACCCAGAUAGAGCCGUGGCUGGCCUGUGUGCCUCCAGGGUCCCGAAGCCCCCGCUUCCUACCUGGCAAGUUUCAGGAGUCCUCAAUGAGGGACAGGCAGUGCCUGAAACUCCUUUCAGAACAGGCUACCUGUUAGUGGUGGUGAUGUCACUUUAGUGGGUUGCAACUCCUUACCUUGUUAAAGAAAUGAAAAAGAAUAGGAACUAUCAGAGCACAUGGCAUCUGGUGAGGUGAGUAUGGUUUCUCUAAGGUUUGGUUUGGCUUUAGUUCCUUUGAGAAAUAAUUACUGAAUAGCUAUUACACGGCAGGCAGUUUUGGGAGCUGGUUUCAGUUAUGUGUUUAUAUCUGUGUCCAUGUGUAGCUAGUUAUACGUGUCCUGGAUCGCAACAUAAAAUGUAUGUCUUACCAUUGGUUGGUGUGGAAAGAUCUUGGAGAAUUCCCUGAUGUAGUUCUCAGCAUGCCCCAGGAUCUGAGUAAUCCCAAUCUGCUUUUGGUUCCAAGUUUCUCACCUGCCAACCAGAGCCUCGGCUCUUGAUGUAGUACUCUUGGUUGCUCAGUGCUUGCCUGGCAGGAUUCAGGGUGUGUUUUUAACUUUUUUUCCUGACCUACUCCCUGGAGGGAUGGGGGGGAGGAUCAGGCAUUUGGAAACACGUGACUCGAAGAGAAGGAGGUCCAUGCCUUAGCUGGCAGAGACUCGGGUAGCAGAUCAGCCGCUUGAAAUGGUAGAGAGAGAUCCCAAAGGAAAUUUGGGAUACUUUGCUAAAAAUGCAGCCAAGGAACAUGGGGAAGUGCUUCUGUAAGCUUACACACACAAACACACACAAUCCUAUACCAAUCCAGAAUUUUCGCUAUCAGAAAAAAAUGGAAGUUUCUUUAAGGCUUUCCCAUUUGUGGUUGUAGCAAAUGCCACAGAGACCAUCUGAAGCUAUCCAAGAACUAAAAACAGUCUUCACAGGUGUUGCUUUUCAGAAAUUUUGGCCAGCCCACCCCACAAGGAUCUCACUGACUCGGCACUGUGUGUCUCCUGUGAAAAUGUCUCACCCAAACAGGGACCUGGAUUGAAAUGGUUCAAGCCCAGUAUCGUCUGACUGAUCUGCUACCUGGGUCUCUGCCACCUGAGUCACUGACCUCCUUCUCUCAGAGCAUGUGUUUCCAAAUGCCUGUCCCCCGCCCCUCCAGGAGACGCACCAUAGAGACUGAGUCUGUAAUGAGGGCUGGAGCUUGCAUCUGAGACAACACUGGCACAAGGUGGAGGAUGAGGGGCUGUGGGAACCAGGCUUACAUUCAAAGGGCAUCAACCCAGACUUUUGAUGUUAUCUUCAAAUGAGGCCAUGGGUAGAGUUGCAGGAUAGCAGGACAGAGGAAGAUGGUUUCUGCACAACGUUGUUUCCUAUAUAGGACAAAGCUACGGAUAAGGCUUUAUAAAUUAGUAUCUGAACACAAAUCAUGUAAUUAUAUUAUGAGUAGCACCAUUAUAUUGCACUGUAUUUUUUGGUGUUAAAAACUUUAGAUAGUUGAAUGUCAAUGACUUUCUGUAAUUUUAGUUUUGCAAUAGACUGAAGCCUGUGAGGCUUUGGUUGGGUCAAUUUGAGAAGCUUGAUCCAGGGCAUGCCUGAAUGUCAAUCCCAUGAGGAUGCUAAGUAGAGGCCAUUCUAGAAAAAUUGCUUGAUGCUCUUUAUCAACUAAGGAAAAGUGAAAGCGGAAUCUAAUCCCAUGUACAGAACACUUUGGACACUUUCAGAGCAACACUGAAUACCAUAGGUGAUGGGCAACACGUCCCCAAAUGGCAUCUUCACAAAGUAUGACAGUGCCCUGGGGAUCAUGAAGUGGGGAGGGGAAGUCUUAGGCCAGGUACUGCCUAGCACUGUAGUUCUGGAAAGCUCAGGAACUCUCCUUCCUUUUAGUUUACUUUUUCUCUUAUAUGAAAAAGGGGCUGCCCCUCACCCUCCCACCCCACCAAGUAUCAAGAGUCAUGUAUUAAGAAAACUUGAAAAACCAAAAAUACUUAGAGCCAAACAAAAUAAUCACCCAUAAUGCUCCCCCUCUGUCUCAGUCCCACUACCCAGCCAGGGAAGGUAGCCGUGAUAGCAGCAGGGCAUAUGUCCUUCCAGAUCUUUUUCUUCACCUUUAGAUUGCAAGGGGAGCCAUUCCUUUUUUUCUCCUUGGGUUUUUACUUCGGACAAUUAAAUUGGAACUUCCUUCCCUAAGGAGGUACUAGGCAGAGUACUUUCACUUUUCCCUCUGUUGCCUCACUUACUCCCCUGUGCCCAUGGGAAGAGGGUUUUGUGGAGGGAGGGGGGAUAAGGGGGAUUACUUAAGCAUGCCCCUUCCACUCAUGGUUCAGGAGGUUCACCUCCGCUUAUCCUCAACACUCAGCGGGUUCUCAGCUGGGGCAGCUCACCUCCCUUGGUUGGGGGACAUUUGGAAACACGUGGGAAAGGCUCUUCAUUGUCACACUGCUUGGGGGAUUGGUUCUCUGGUACCUGAUGGGUGAUGGCUAGGGAUGCUAAUAACCUGCACCGUGUCAGACAGCCCCACCCAACAUGCCAGUAACGUGGGGUUGAGAACUCUACACAGGGAUAAACUUUGCAGGGCUGGCCUGGCCUCGCAGUGAGCUGUAGUGCUCUGUGGCUCAGGAUGAUUCACGGAGGAAAGGUAGGGAGCCCGCUCUGCCCUAGCUCCAAGCUACGUUUUUCCAAAAUGCUUAGUAACAAAGCUGAUAUUUUGCUCUCCAUUCGCCCAGCUCUUUACUCUGCUUCUCAGUUGGAGGGGAAGAGAGAAGGGUGAUUAAUUAUCAACUUCCAACACAGACUUUAAAAACAUAUAGUUUCAUUAUGCUCUACAUGUUGCUUUGUACCUUGCUUUUUUCACAUUGAAAUUGAUCAGUUUUUCAUGACAGGAUUUUGUCAUGACUUUUUUUUUUUUUUUAAGAUUUUAUUUGUUCAUUUGAGACACAGAGAUACAGAGAGAGAGAGCAUGAGCAGGGAGAGGCAGAGGGAGAAGGAGAAGCAGGCUCCCCACUGAGCCGGGCGCCUGAUGUGGGGCUUGAUCCCAGGACCCUGGGAUCAUGACCUGAGCCGAAGCCAGAUGCUUAACCAUCUCAGCCACCCAGGCGCCCCUUGUCAAGACUUUUAAUGACCGCAUCACAUCCCAGCAUAAAGAUGUGCCAUGCUUUACCUAAUCAAUUCUUUCCUUUUAGACAUUUAGGCUGUUUUCAGUUUUUUUCGUUUGUAUAAAUAGGUUACUGCACCAAACACCCUUAUACUCCACAUCUCAGCACACAUUUCUGAUUCUUUGAGAUACAUCUUAGAACUCGCAUUAAGGUUUAUGCAUAGUAUUUAGACUUUUUGUUUUUAAAAACUACUUUUUUGGAGAUGUAAUUGGCAUAUAAUAAACUGCAUGUAUUUAAAGUAUAUACUUUGACAGGUUUUGACAUAUAUAUGCACCCAUGGAACCCUCAUCACAAUCAUGAUAGUGAACAUAUAUGUCACCCCAAAAGUUUCCUUGUGACUCUUUGUAAAUCCUCCCUCUCCCUCAUGCCCUCCCCACCCUGUCCCCAGGCGCCACUGAUCUGCUUUUCUAUGACUAUAGAUUAGUUUCCGUUUCCUGGAGUUUUAUAUAAAUGGAAUUAUACUGUAUGUACUGUUUUUGUCUGGCUUCUUUUACUCAGCGUACUUAUUUUGGGACUCGUCUAUAUUGUUGAGUGCAUCGACAAUCCAUCACUUUUUCUUGCCGGGUAGUAUUCCAUUGUGUAGAGUACAGUUUAUUUCUUCAUUCACCUGUUGAUGGAUAUUUGGGUUGUUUUCUUUUGGGGGCUAUUAUAAAUACAGAUACAAUGAACAUUUGUGUCCAAGACUUCAUGUAGACUUCAGUUUUCAUUUUUCUUGGGGAAAUACCUAGAAGUGCAGUGGUUGAAUCGUAUGCUGGGGGCAUGUUUAACUUUUUAAGAAACUGCCAGACUUUUUGAUUGAGUGGUUGUACCCUAUUAAGACUUUUGGUAUUUAGCUUAAAAUAAUGCAAGUGAAUUUGAAUUGGUUUUACUUGCCCUUAGAUUAGGAGCAUAAACUCAUAGGACAGUGGAGCUCAAAGGAACUUGAUAUCACAAUCCAGUUCUCGGGAUUUACUGUAGAGGAAAUAGUGAUCCAGAAAGGUUAAACAGCUUUUCUGAGCUCUUGCUGCUCAUAGGCUAGUCUCUUUACUCUUCUGUAAGAUCUUGCAAUUUGGGGGAAUUCUACUAGUCAUGUUGCAGCUUCCCAGCAUGGCCUUGUGUGUAGCUGUCAAGGACACGGCUUUCCUUCAGAAUAGGCCUUGCUUUGCAUGUGUUACAUAACUUUGGGCAUGAAACAUCUUUUAAAAUUCUGGGACUUUCAGGACGGGGAGUAAAGAGCAUCAAAAGGGUAAUGAGCCUAUCAUCUAUGGGAAAUCACAUGUGGCCACUCACAGUAUCUACAGCAACUCAGCAGCAGGUCAAAUAAAAAUGUGCUAUCAUCAUUAAGACUUGGUGCUCGGAGGAGAUUCACCUCGUUUCUAAACAAACUGAUACACCCAAAGAAUUAAGACUGCAGAGCACUCCAUUAGAAGUGAAGAAAACAGAAUGCCAAUUACCUGGCUUCUUUAGCUUACCUUUCCAGCUCCCACCUCUUAUUAUCAUAUUCAUAAGCAUUGUCCCUAAUCAGUCUUCCUGAGUAAAGUUAACAAGUGUAUGCGUGCACUCUCUUGAAAUUGUUGUGCUUAGCCUAAGAAGCUGUCAUGAGGUUGAGAAGGCUGCCGCUUUAACCAGAUUUCAUCUCUGUGUGUCACUGCUCAUGUCAAAGUAAAAUGCGCUCAGACAUAAGAGUUGUCCUCCUUUCAUCAAGAGCGCCAGCCUGCCUGAGCUUUGUUCCACUUGGUUAAUCUUGUUAUUUAAAUUGUUAAAAUUGAGACAUCGGCAGUAAAUUUCAGAGAAGAUAUAACAAUUAUUAGAUACAAGCUGGGCUCUUGUACUUGAGAAUAUACCAUGCCCUCCAUCCACCGGUGGCAUUAGCCACAAAUAAUUUACAACGGUUUCUUUAAGAAGUGUGCCCUAUAGUACUUGAAUGGCAUUAAAUCACAGUCCAUCCCCACCUGGAUCAUAUUUCCAACUUUAAGAUAGAUUUGGUUCCAGUCAGCAGAGUGGCAGAGCACUCCAGGGGACCGCCUUUUAAUGCCUAUAACUCUUGAAGAGCUGAGCGAGGCUUCCUGAAGCUGCCUUCUGGUUAUGAGUUUUGUGUUUAGGUGACUUUAUACACCAGGCAGGGGAGCCACAAUCCAGAACAAUCACUCCUGGAGGAUAAAGAGAAGGAAAAGCUGGGAGGCUCUCUGGGUAACCUUGUGCCAUUCAGUGAUCCCAUUAAAAUCCGAUAGGGGCACUUGACCUUGUGGCUCUUGUGCCCUGGGCCACAAUCUAGUUGGACCGAGGCAAAGGCUAAAGGGACAGGAUAAGCGUGAAUGAAGCUGGGAAUUCUUAGUUGGAUCAUCGGAGGCCCUGGCCCUCUGACCCAUCUUAUCCAACCCCUGUCUCAGUGCAGAAACCCCAGUAAUGGGUACCUGCUUAUUGAGCAGUUGACUCAUUGGACUUUGGGGUCAACAGAAAUCCCAGGCUUGGCUGUUGCUGUUUAAUCCAGAUGGUUCUCAAGCCAAGUCUCCCCUAAUCCGUACUUGUAGAAUUGGUUGCUUGGUCCCAAAUGCAGGGCUUGACAUUUAGCUUUGCAAAAUUCCCUCGUAUUGACUUUGGCCCCUUAUUUCUAUUAAUAAAAUAUUUAACAAUUCUGCUUCUGACAUUGAAUGUGUCAGAUUUAUGGAAUCUUUACGUGUCUAAGUGUUUGUCCAAAUCGGAGAGGUAAAUAUAACUUUUAGAGCUGAGGGAAGGCCUGAACAUCACCAAUCCAGAAUG